rnacentral:rRNA from 1 species
GCGUGCGCAGGCGGUUUGUAAGACUGUCGUGAAAUACCCCGGGCCGUCAACCUGGGAAUGGCGAUGGUGACUGCAAGGCUAGAGUUUGGCAGAGGGGGGUAGGAAUUCCACGUGUAGCAGUGAAAUGCGUAGAUAUGUGGAGGAACACCGAUGGCGAAGGCAGCCCCCUGGGUCAAAACUGACGCUCAUGCACGAAAGCGUGGGGAGCAAACAGGAUUAGAUACCCCGGU